AUCCCUGUGGCUCAGUUGGUAGAGCAUGGUGUUUGCAACGCCAGCAUGGUGUGUGCAACGCCAGGGUUGUGGGUUCGAUUCCCACAGGGGGCC
rfam:Salmo salar isolate Sally breed double haploid chromosome ssa11, whole genome shotgun sequence.